rnacentral:pre_miRNA from 1 species
UCUUAUGAAUGAACAAAGCAGGUGGUUUCUUGAGAUGGAACCUACUCCCGGUGAAGAAGCUGUGAG